rnacentral:tRNA from 1 species
GAAACUUAGGAUUAUCCAUAAACCGAAGGCCUUCAAAG